ensembl:lncRNA
CUUCUCACCUCAUUUGCUUGUAUAUAGACUUAUUUUUCUAUUGUGUUAUUGACUGUAUGUUUGUUUAUUCCAUGUGUAACUGUGUUGUGUGUGUCGCACUGCUUUGCUUUAUCUUGGCCAGGUCGCAGUUGUAACUGAGAACUUGUUCUCAACCGGCCUACCUGGUUAAAUAAAGGUGUUCUCAACCGGCCUACCUGGUUAAAUAAAGGUGUUCUCAACCGGCCUACCUGGUUAAAUAAAAGGUGUUCUCAACCGGCCUACCUGGUUAAAUAAAGGUGUUCUCAACCGGCCUACCUGGUUAAAUAAAGG